UACAGAGGGGGCAAGCGUUAUUCGGAAUUAUUGGGCGUAAAGGGCGCGUAGGCGGCUUGGCAAGUGGAAGGUGAAAUCCCUCGGCUUAACCGAGGAACUGCCCUCCAAACUGCUUGCUUGAGGCCGGGAGAGGCGAGUGGAAUUCCCAGUUGUAGCGGUGAAAUGCGUAGAUAUUGGGAGGAACACCAGUGGCGAAGGCGGCUCGCUGGACCGGUUCUGACGCUGAGGCGCGAAAGCGUGGGGAGCAACGGGG
rnacentral:rRNA from 1 species